GAUGAACGCUGGCGGCGUGCCUAAUACAUGCAAGUCGAGCGAACAGACGAGGAGCUUGCUCCUCUGACGUUAGCGGCGGACGGGUGAGUAACACGUGGAUAACCUACCUAUAAGACUGGGAUAACUUCGGGAAACCGGAGCUAAUACCGGAUAAUAUAUUGAACCGCAUGGUUCAAUAGUGAAAGACGGUUUUGCUGUCACUUAUAGAUGGAUCCGCGCCGCAUUAGCUAGUUGGUAAGGUAACGGCUUACCAACGCAACGAUGCGUAGCCGACCUGAGAGGGUGAUCGGCCACACUGGAACUGAGACACGGUCCAGACUCCUACGGGAGGCAGCAGUAGGGAAUCUUCCGCAAUGGGCGAAAGCCUGACGGAGCAACGCCGCGUGAGUGAUGAAGGUCUUCGGAUCGUAAAACGCUGUUAUUAGGGAAGAACAAAUGUGUAAGUAACUAUGCACGUCUUGACGGUACCUAAUCAGAAAGCCACGGCUAACUACGU
rnacentral:rRNA from 1 species